AUCCUGCAAUCCAUGAACCAGUUUAGUAGCCCUUCUCAGAACUCUCUCUAAAGUAUCAAUAUCCUUCUGCAGAUAAGGUCUCCAGUACUGCAUACAAUACUCCAAGUGAGGUCUCACUAGUGUUCUGUACAAUGGCAUGAGCACUUCCAUCUUUCUACUGCUAAUACCUCUCCCUAUACAACGAAGAAUGUUCAUUCUGUUAGUGUAUGUGUCUGUGUGUGUGUG